CGCGGGGUGGAGCGGGCUCAUAACCCGAAGGUCGUCGGUUCAAAUCCGGCCCCCGCAACCA
rnacentral:tRNA from 1 species